UACAGAGGGGGCAAGCGUUGUUCGGAAUUACUGGGCGUAAAGGGCGCGUAGGCGGCCUUCUAAGUCGAACGUGAAAUCCCUGGGCUCAACCCAGGAACUGCGUCCGAUACUGGAAGGCUUGAAUCCGGGAGAGGGAUGCGGAAUUCCAGGUGUAGAGGUGAAAUUCGUAGAUAUUCGGAAGAACACCAGUGGCGAAGGCGGCUCACUGGCCCGGUACUGACGCUGAGGUGCGAAAGCGUGGGGAGCAAACAGG
rnacentral:rRNA from 1 species